AUGUUCUAUAGACAGAGCAUAGAUGUUGUGUGGAUAUAGAAAAUCACAUUGCACACGGACUAAACAAUGGAACCUGCCGGUGGUGAUUUCAUCAAUCGCUCACAAUUGUAUACCGGCAAUCGUGUGCUCACAACAUACAUGGCUUGUUAACAGGAAUCAGGUGUGUCGUUAUUGGUCUUCCCACACACUUCUGAUUACUAACCUGUUUGCCGCGUAUCACACACAUUUUGUUAAGUUGAACCAUUUUUGUUGUGUUGGCUCAUCGCAAACAGUUCAUCCAAGUGAGGUGUAUGCCGUACAUCGCACACAACUUGAUCUAGCUGACUGAUUAUGUUGUGUUGCCUAAUCACAAAUAGUUCAUCCGAUUGAACUAUAUGUCGUAUAUUGCACACACCUUCAUUUGAUUGACCGUCUCUGCUGUUAUGCUCAUCACAAAUAGUUCAUUUGAGUGAACUGUUUGCCACACAUUGCACAGGCAACUACAAUCUAAAUCGUGUGUGAUGUCUUCACCAUCGUAGACAUUUUGUAUCCUUUUUGAUGGUUUUAUCACAUCACCAUUUGCGAUUAAUGCAUCGCACACAGUUUCAUCAAAGGGUCUCUGAUUUAGUGUCAUGCUUGGACCAUCCUGCGUGUGAAAUGUAAUAGCGGUGGUCAGGUGGAGAUGAAUAGGUCGAAAGUUUUUCCACAAAAAAUGUAACAGAGGUGGUAAUGUUAAUAAAAUUCAAACAUCCAACCUAUCAAAUGAGAUGUGCUCACUAUUUUAGUUUUUUUUAGGAAAACUUUCGACCUAACCAUAUUCAAUCAUGACAGUAAAACAAACACCAAAACAAUAAAAACUACAUCCAGAUCCGUAGAUCACCUAGCGACCACUAGAAGCCCAUCGAAGGCAUGCCACGGUCAUCACCCCUCCCUCGUUGGAUCUGGGCAAAAAAAUUGCAGUACACAGUCGGGAAGUCAUUGUGCUUAGGUCGCAUAUGACCAUCACACCAAAAUAGCAAGCACUACCGAUGAAGAGUAGCGUAGAUCGGNGUAGCGUAGAUCGGAAGAAUUCAAAUUAAAGACACACAAACAUAGACGAACAACGAAGCCGAGAAAAUCCAUAAAAGUUAGAUUUGUCUAAGAUACACCUCCACAUGCCCACCGAUGAUACUAGAUGCAUUAUCGAGAUAGGGGCUAGAAGGGGACAACCUUAUUUCAUAUUCGGUCCACCGCCGUCUCGUCUUCCCGAGCAGGACACAAAACCUAACAAAACUCAAAGAAACAUGUAAACAUGGAACCCUCCCGCGGGCAAGGGCCAGGAUCCACCGCGUCUCCAUGGACCUAGGGCCACCAAAGACGAGAUGGGCAGCCAACCAAUUCACUUGGAAUUCUACAAAUCCAAUUCGAUUUAUGUGUGCAACAAAAAAAACUGAUGUUCACCGAAUCCAAAUUCAAUUUCUGAAUUUUGUGACUAGUUCUUGGCUAUAGAUGGGCUGGAGUAAAUGUUGUUUGUUGACCGACUUCCCAUCGGUUAAUCCCUCAAAAAACUGUAACUUAUGAUUAACAUACAUAGGUGGUUAUG
rnacentral:lncRNA from 1 species